AGCGGCGGACGGGUGAGUAACACGUGGGUAACCUGCCCAAGAGACUGGGAUAACACCUGGAAACAGAUGCUAAUACCGGAUAACAACACUAGACGCAUGUCUAGAGUUUGAAAGAUGGUUCUGCUAUCACUCUUGGAUGGACCUGCGGUGCAUUAGCUAGUUGGUAAGGUAACGGCUUACCAAGGCAAUGAUGCAUAGCCGAGUUGAGAGACUGAUCGGCCACAUUGGGACUGAGACACGGCCCAAACUCCUACGGGAGGCAGCAGUAGGGAAUCUUCCACAAUGGACGGAAGUCUGAUGGAGCAACGCCGCGUGAGUGAAGAAGGGUUUCGGCUCGUAAAGCUCUAUUGGUAGUGAAGAAAGAUAGAGGUAGUAACUGGCCUUUAUUUGACGGUAAUUACUUAGAAAGUCACGGCUAACUACGUGCCAGCAGCCGCGGUAAUACGUAGGUGGCAAGCGUUGUCCGGAUUUAUUGGGCGUAAAGCGAGUGCAGGCGGUUCAAUAAGUCUGAUGUGAAAGCCUUCGGCUCAACCGGAGAAUUGCAUCAGAAACUGUUGAACUUGAGUGCAGAAGAGGAGAGUGGGACUCCAUGUGUAGCGGUGGAAUGCGUAGAUAUAUGGAAGAACACCAGUGGCGAAGGCGGCUCUCUGGUCUGCAACUGACGCUGAGGCUCGAAAGCAUGGGUAGCGAACAGGAUUAGAUACCCUGGUAGUCCAUGCCGUAAAACGAUGAGUGCUAAGUGU
rnacentral:rRNA from 1 species